CCUAUCAUAACCUUUUUCGUCUUUUCUUAAGUUUUUUCGAUUUGGAGGAGACGAGGAGUCUAGAGAGCCUUCUUAGAUUCUGCGAUCGAUAGAUUUUCAAGAGCAUGGAGAUGCAACAAAGAUCUUUCUCGAAGAUACCCCAUCUAUCCGGGAGGGUCAUUUGACCCCUUAGAUUUGGCUGACGACCCCAACACCUUGGCGGAGCUGAAGGUGAAGGAGAUUAAGAACGGGUGAUGUUCUCGAUGUUUGGAUUCUUCGUGCAGGCAAUUGUAACUGGAAAGGAGCCAUUGGAGAACUUAAACGACCACUUGGUCGGCUCGGUGGCCAACAACGCAUGGGCGUAUGCCACCAACUUCACCUCCAGAAACUAGGAUGGCGCGAUAGAAUCGAUUUAUUUUUCUGUGAGCUGUGAGAGUCUGUAACUUAGACGGAACCACCAGUUGGGUUGGCAGCAUUCGCACAGUAGUACAUUGGGAGAGUGUGAAUGAGUAAAUUAUAGAUGUGUUCUUGUAAUUGGGAAUUGCAACUGGGCGAAGGGAUGUGGAGGCAGGUGUAGAUUUGGGCAUGGAAUGGUUCCGUACCCAAACGGGUGUGUGUUGGUUUCAGCUGAUAUAGAUAGUAGCGCCAUGUCUUGCAAAAUCGAUGUGAUGGGGGCGUGGUUGAAUGGAUGAUGGUCGUAUUUGCGAUAUUUGUAUUCUGCAGGGGAGGCGUGAAUAGCAGAAUGAGGUGAUGGGGAGUGAUUUCGUGGAGUGGUUUCGUAGAGUGAACGACGGUGUGAGCCGAAACUGAGAAUGUGAGGGUGGAUUGGGGGGGAUUUAUUCGAGCUGCAUGUGAUUAGUGCGGUGUGCAUGUGAUUUAUACGACGGGGGAGAAGGUCGACGGAAGAGGUCCCAAGGUAUUUGGUGCAUACAGAUGGAGAUUACCAUCGAGCUGUGCACAUCUAGUUGUUCGUAGAGAGCAUGCAAGAAUCGGUGUUGCAAAAAAAGGUGGAUUGCAGGGAUUUGUGGCCAAGCUUGUGGGGUAUUUCUAGUGUUGGCCACAUCUCUGCUGGAGACACUUCGCUCCUCACUGCCAGGUGAUAGUUGCAAAAUUUCCAUGUUACUGUUGAAUGAUCUCAAAUCCCUUGAUGUGCAAGUUACAGUAAGUUUGAGAUUUAUUUCGUCCUUAGCUACAAAAUUGGUAUGCAUAGAGAGACUCAAAUGUGAGUUGAAGUUGUUCAAAUCUGAAACUCAGAUCCCUAAUUAGGGUCUUUAAACUCUAAUUAGGGUUUAUAAGCCCUAAAUUACGAAAAAUAAAACACAUAUUUUUGAAAAACAAAAACAUUUAUAGAGGUCUUUGGAACAAUAUAAGCCUUGGCAAAAUUUUAGAAUGGAAAAAACUAUGAUAAAUUGAGAGAUAUUUAGGAUCAAAAACCUCUAGGACACUCUUGUAAUCUUAAACCCUAAACCCUCAAUUCUAAAACCUUACAUGCAUUCACUUUUAUUCUAAAACAUAUUCUCAUAUGUUUAAAAAUGUAAAAUCACAACUCAUGCCUUAUUUUUUUAAUCAUACAACCUAGACUCUAAAAUUUCAAUCUCAUAACAUGUACACUAGGAUUGUAAUUUUAAACCCCAACAUUGUAUUGUGAUAAUAUAUGUUUGAAAUAUGAAACUUAUUUUUAUCAAUUCGUUCUAUUUGUUAUAUUUUAUAUUACAUUGUGCUACAUCAGCACCAAAUAGAUCACAAUUAGAUUGAAAAUUUAACUUCUAAAAUGUAAAUAUUGUAAUUUUAUUUUUUAAUGCCAUGUGGACUGUGCCAUGUCUGCAAGAUGCCACGUUGGAUGACAAUGCAAGGUAUGCAAUAAAUUAGAAUUUAACCUCUAAUCUUAUACAUUUUUAACAUUUCCAAAUUAUAUAUAUUUUUUGAAAUGCCACGUGGACUAUACCACGUCAACACGAUGCCUGCCACGUCACAUGACAAUGCUAGGUGGACUGCAAGGGCUCAUAGUUUCAAGGGCAGUAGUCUUCAAUAGUCAUCUAAUUUUUGGAUGAAAAAUCAUUGUCAUCAUGAGACCAACGUGCAAUCCAUGGAAUUGGAUGAAAGUUAAUCGAUGCAACUGGGGCAAGGCCACUAACGGACUUAUCCUAGAGAAAGCCGCGCGGCGCAAGAAGCUUACUGGGUAUUUUGGGCCAGAUCCAGAUCAGGAAUAUUAGAAGGCUGUUGCGGGGGGGGUAACACAGUAGUGCAGGGUGAGCGGCAGUUGACAAGAAUCAAAGGUAGGUUGACGCUUCUGUGAGAGGCAGCUGCGAGAUUACACCGAGAGAGAGCCAUACCCGAGGUCUUUGUGUCGGGCGGCGGAGGUUGUCAUCGUGUCCACAGAAAGGAAGCCACAUGCAUGCAACCGACAUGUGAUCGGAGUAGGAUCUGUCGCUUACCAGUGAAUGGCCACAUUCGAUGGCGAACUUGAGGUAGUGAUGCGAAGGUUGUGACUUUACGAGAAGGCAAAAUAGAUUGCAACAACCAAUGCGGAUCUGACGUGGCUGAACAAUAGUGAUGCUGGAGAGACAGUGCAGACGGUGAUGAGCAAGUCUUUAAACAAGCACAACACGUCGUACUUUGAGGCGCGGCUGUUGGAAGAGGGUCCACUGUGGACAGAAGUCAGACCGAGCACUAGAUCGAAAAGAGUGCGAGAUUGGGCCAAGACAGUAGGUGCGGUCUUGGGUGGCGAAGCCCGAGAUAGGAAGGAGAGCCUGCUGUUUAGGCUAGCAGUAUAAUAGGAAUCUGGAUCUCAAAUUGGAAGCGAGCUUCGAAGGACCACAUUGCUGCAAAAAGAAGCGUUGUAGUGUAUAUGGUGUGGCGUGGUCCAACAAUGUGCUAAGUGAAGAGUGAGUAGAUGAGAGAUGAGUGGAUUUAUCAAGCAAAGGAUAUUGCAGAUGCAGUGCUAGCAAUUGUGGGGAGAGAUCCAAAACAGAUCUAAUGUGGUCGCAAAGUUAGCAGGUUGAAAUGGUAGCAAUAUUGUAGCAGUAUUGUGUUGCGAGCCAGAGGAGAAGUUGUGCAUGCUAAGCAGAGUUUGGUGAUGGAGCAAGAGCUAGCCAAAGAAUGCCCAGUUUGAGCUAUUUCGAGCAAAGGCCUGUUUGUCGUGU